UCUUCUCCGUCGCAUGACCCUUCACCACCGCGAGCUGCCUAGCCUCCUCACCAGCCGCCCGAGCACCGCACUGCCCUCCGCUGUCGUUAGCUCCCUAGCCCACCGCUCCUCGACGGCCGCCCGAGCGUCGUCCUGCCUUCUCCAUCCUCGUGCGGAGCCGCCCCUGCCAUGCCUCGACCCUUCCCUGCCGGCCGCGCCUCCGUCCUCCCCGCCUGUGCAAGAUGGGGCGGGAGCAGGUCGUGAACUACAACCACCAAAGUUGAUCGCCACAAUACCCGCACACAAACUUGUCUAUCCUGAAGGUCUGGUAGAGUGUGGUUCCGAGAUCCUUGUGCUUGGCCACAAUGAUUUGUCUGGGUCGCAGAUUUUAGUUUGCAAACUCGCAGACCUUGUGCUGCAAAGGUUUAUCCCAACAAAAGACAUCAGAGGCAAUACCUUGUUCCUUGAAGAAAGGAAUAUAAGUGUCUCCUCUAAGGUACUGCCUACAGUGAAGGGUGACAAUGUUGUCUUCAUUCGUUCAGGAAGACCCUAUCUUGCGCAAUACCACCUCGGUAGUGGCAGCUUGUCACCGGCAAUUGAUAAUUGCAGCCUGUAUGGCCGCGGGACCUAGUAGUCUCAUCCACUAUAUCUUCAGCUGUUGCAUUCGUAAUCGGUGGAGCAGAGGACUAAUAUUCAGAAGGAACGCAGAAGGUUGGUCGAUGCAAGAUUAAGAGAAGUUGAAUAACGAGGUGUAAACCAACACAUGGCUACCAGUUUACCAGAAUGAGGAGGAGAUUCUUGGUUGCUGGCAAAAAUUAGCAUUCCUUCCAUUAUGCUUUUGACUCCUACAGUACCUUUGUAGUGUGUAGUACUUAAGUUACUAUUGUUGUUUACAAAUCUUUAUCUGUGUGCUGCAUUCUCGCACUGCUGAAUUGUUGCAAUGUGGAUUUUUACACAUUUAGUAUACAUUCCCUCCAUCCCAAAUUAUAAAGUCGUUUUGGGUUUUCUAGGUUCAUACAUUUUACUAUGCAUUUAGACAUAAUAUAUAUCUAGUGCAUAGCAAAACCUAUGAAUCCUCUUCAUUCAAGAAAAUAGGUACUCCUGAAAAUUAGGCUUUGGUGCAUCAUCAGUUCAUCGCAGGCGUUGGCGUGACUGCAUCGAGCCAUCGAAUACGUAUGUUGUGUAGGCAACUUGGGCCGUGCACUUGAUCUUGCAUGUUGGGCUGGUCUAUGCAAAGUAUGAAUGAAGUGGUCCGUCCGAAAUCCUUUUCAAAAUUUUUGCAUGUAUGCAGAGAUGGCGAGUGCGACUGGGGGGUACUGACCGAGAACACUUGGAUGGCCUGAUGACCCAAGUGCGGGGAUGGACGGAAGACUUUCUGGAAAAGCUGAAGGAUCAACCACCUGUAGAAUCGUUUAUCUGAAGAAUCUGUGUCUUUACUUUCUUAUAUCUCUGUGUGGUAGAAGUUUGUUUGCUGUAGUGUCGAGGGUUGAGCUCGUGUGCUCUCUUUUGCUCGUUAUCUGUAAGCUGGUAUCCCCAGUGUGUCGCAAGGUCUGUAACCCAAACCUUAUUGGCUUUCUAUAAAAGCAGGGUGAACCCUUUUUCAAAAAAAAAAAAA